UUCAACUGAUUUGAAGAGCUUGCUCAGAUAUGACGAUGGACAUUGCAAAGAGUGGCGAACGGGUGAGUAACACGUGGGAAACCUACCUCUUAGCAGGGGAUAACAUUUGGAAACAGAUGCUAAUACCGUAUAACAAUGACAACCGCAUGGUUGUUAUUUAAAAGAUGGUUCUGCUAUCACUAAGAGAUGGUCCCGCGGUGCAUUAGCUAGUUGGUAAGGUAAUGGCUUACCAAGGCGAUGAUGCAUAGCCGAGUUGAGAGACUGAUCGGCCACAAUGGGACUGAGACACGGCCCAUACUCCUACGGGAGGCAGCAGUAGGGAAUCUUCCACAAUGGGCGAAAGCCUGAUGGAGCAACGCCGCGUGUGUGAUGAAGGGUUUCGGCUCGUAAAACACUGUUGUAAGAGAAGAAUGACAUUGAGAGUAACUGUUCAAUGUGUGACGGUAUCUUACCAGAAAGGAACGGCUAAAUACGUGCCAGCAGCCGCGGUAAUACGUAUGUUCCAAGCGUUAUCCGGAUUUAUUGGGCGUAAAGCGAGCGCAGACGGUUAUUUAAGUCUGAAGUGAAAGCCCUCAGCUCAACUGAGGAAUUGCUUUGGAAACUGGAUGACUUGAGUGCAGUAGAGGAAAGUGGAACUCCAUGUGUAGCGGUGAAAUGCGUAGAUAUAUGGAAGAACACCAGUGGCGAAAGCGGCUUUCUGGACUGUAACUGACGUUGAGGCUCGAAAGUGUGGGUAGCAAACAGGAUUAGAUACCCUGGUAGUCCACACCGUAAACGAUGAGUGCUAGGUGUUUGAGGGUCUCCGCCCUUAAGUGCCGCAGCUAACGCAUUAAGCACUCCGCCUGGGGAGUACGACCGCAAGGUUGAAACUCAAAGGAAUUGACGGGGACCCGCACAAGCGGUGGAGCAUGUGGUUUAAUUCGAAGCAACGCGAAGAACCUUACCAGGUCUUGACAUCCCUUGACAACUCCAGAGAUGGAGCGUUCCCUUCGGGGACAAGGUGACAGGUGGUGCAUGGUUGUCGUCAGCUCGUGUCGUGAGAUGUUGGGUUAAGUCCCGCAACGAGCGCAACCCUUAUUACUAGUUGCCAGCAUUCAGUUGGGCACUCUAGUGAGACUGCCGGUGACAAACCGGAGGAAGGUGGGGAUGACGUCAAAUCAUCAUGCCCCUUAUGACCUGGGCUACACACGUGCUACAAUGGCGUAUACAACGAGUUGCCAACCCGCGAGGGUGAGCUAAUCUCUUAAAGUACGUCUCAGUUCGGAUUGUAGGCUGCAACUCGCCUACAUGAAGUCGGAAUCGCUAGUAAUCGCGGAUCAGCACGCCGCGGUGAAUACGUUCCCGGGUCUUGUACACACCGCCCGUCACACCAUGAGAGUUUGUAACACCCAAAGCCGGUGGGGUAACCUU
rnacentral:rRNA from 1 species